GAUUCCUACGGGAGGCAGCAGUGGGGAAUUUUGGACAAUGGGGGGAACCCUGAUCCAGCCAUGCCGCGUGUCUGAAGAAGGCCUUCGGGUUGUAAAGGACUUUUGUCAGGGAAGAAAAGCUUGAGGUUAAUACCCCUGAGUGAUGACGGUACCUGAAGAAUAAGCACCGGCUAACUACGUGCCAGCAGCCGCGGUAAUACGUAGGGUGCGAGCGUUAAUCGGAAUUACUGGGCGUAAAGCGGGCGCAGACGGUUACUUAAGUCAGAUGUGAAAUCCCCGGGCUCAACCUGGGAACUGCGUUUGAAACUGGGUGACUAGAGUAUGUCAGAGGGGGGUAGAAUUCCACGUGUAGCAGUGAAAUGCGUAGAGAUGUGGAGGAAUACCGAUGGCGAAGGCAGCCCCCUGGGAUAAUACUGACGUUCAUGCCCGAAAGCGUGGGUAGCAAACAGGAUUAGAUACCCUGGUAGUCCACGCCCUAAACGAUGUCAAUUAGCUGUUGGGGCACUUGAUGCCUUAGUAGCGUAGCUAACGCGUGAAAUUGACCGCCUGGGGAGUACGGUCGCAAGAUUAAAACUCAAAGGAAUUGACGGGGACCCGCACAAGCGGUGGAUGAUGUGGAUUAAUUCGAUGCAACGCGAAGAACCUUACCUGGUCUUGACAUGUACGGAAUCCUCCAGAGACGGAGGAGUGCCUUCGGGAACCGUAACACAGGUGCUGCAUGGCUGUCGUCAGCUCGUGUCGUGAGAUGUUGGGUUAAGUCCCGCAACGAGCGCAACCCUUGUCAUUAGUUGCCAUCAUUAAGUUGGGCACUCUAAUGAGACUGCCGGUGACAAGCCGGAGGAAGGUGGGGAUGACGUCAAGUCCUCAUGGCCCUUAUGACCAGGGCUUCACACGUCAUACAAUGGUCGGUACAGAGGGUAGCCAAGCCGCGAGGUGGAGCCAAUCCCAGAAAACCGAUCGUAGUCCGGAUUGCACUCUGCAACUCGAGUGCAUGAAGUCGGAAUCGCUAGUAAUCGCAGGUCAGCAUACUGCGGUGAAUACGUUCCCGGGUCUUGUACACACCGCCCGUCACACCAUGGGAGUGGGGGAUACCAGAAGUAGGUAGGGUAACCGUAAGGAGCCCGCUUACCAU
rnacentral:rRNA from 1 species